rnacentral:rRNA from 1 species
AUGAACGCUAGCGACAGGCUUAACACAUGCAAGUCGAGGGGCAGCACAGGUAGCAAUACCGGGUGGCGACCGGCGCACGGGUGAGUAACGCGUAUGCAACUUGCCUAUCAGAGGGGGAUAACCCGGCGAAAGUCGGACUAAUACCGCAUGAAGCAGGGGCCCCGCAUGGGGAUAUUUGCUAAAGAUUCAUCGCUGAUAGAUAGGCAUGCGUUCCAUUAGGCAGUUGGCGGGGUAACGGCCCACCAAACCGACGAUGGAUAGAGGUUCUGAGAGGAAGGUCCCCCACAUUGGUACUGAGACACGGACCAAACUCCUACGGGAGGCAGCAGUGAGGAAUAUUGGUCAAUGGCCGAGAGGCUGAACCAGCCAAGUCGCGUGAGGGAUGAAGGUUCUAUGGAUCGUAAACCUCUUUUAUAAGGGAAUAAAGUGCGGGACGUGUCCCGUUUUGUAUGUACCUUAUGAAUAAGGAUCGGCUAACUCCGUGCCAGCAGCCGCGGUAAUACGGAGGAUCCGAGCGUUAUCCGGAUUUAUUGGGUUUAAAGGGUGCGUAGGCGGCCUUUUAAGUCAGCGGUGAAAGUCUGUGGCUCAACCAUAGAAUUGCCGUUGAAACUGGGGGGCUUGAGUAUGUUUGAGGCAGGCGGAAUGCGUGGUGUAGCGGUGAAAUGCAUAGAUAUCACGCAGAACCCCGAUUGCGAAGGCAGCCUGCCAAGCCAUUACUGACGCUGAUGCACGAAAGCGUGGGGAUCAAACAGGAUUAGAUACCCUGGUAGUCCACGCAGUAAACGAUGAUCACUAGCUGUUUACGAUACACUGUAAGCGGCACAGCGAAAGCGUUAAGUGAUCCACCUGGGGAGUACGCCGGCAACGGUGAAACUCAAAGGAAUUGACGGGGGCCCGCACAAGCGGAGGAACAUGUGGUUUAAUUCGAUGAUACGCGAGGAACCUUACCCGGGUUUGAACGCAUUCGGACCGAGGUGGAAACACCUUUUCUAGCAAUAGCCGUUUGCGAGGUGCUGCAUGGUUGUCGUCAGCUCGUGCCGUGAGGUGUCGGCUUAAGUGCCAUAACGAGCGCAACCCUUGCCACUAGUUACUAACAGGUAAAGCUGAGGACUCUGGUGGGACUGCCAGCGUAAGCUGCGAGGAAGGCGGGGAUGACGUCAAAUCAGCACGGCCCUUACAUCCGGGGCGACACACGUGUUACAAUGGCGUGGACAAAGGGAAGCCACCUGGCGACAGGGAGCGAAUCCCCAAACCACGUCUCAGUUCGGAUCGGAGUCUGCAACCCGACUCCGUGAAGCUGGAUUCGCUAGUAAUCGCGCAUCAGCCAUGGCGCGGUGAAUACGUUCCCGGGCCUUGUACACACCGCCCGUCAAGCCAUGGGAGCCGGGGGUACCUGAAGUCCGUAACCGCGAGGAUCGGCCUAGGGUAAAACUGGUGACUGGGGCU